rnacentral:rRNA from 1 species
AGCUAGGCCUAACAUUGUUAGGUCGCCAGCUUCUUAGAGGGACUAUCGGUGUUUAACCGAUGGAAGUUUGAGGCAAUAACAGGUCUGUGAUGCUCUUAGAUGUUCUGGGCCGCACGCGCGCUACACUGAUGAAGUCAACGAGUUCAUUUCCUUUAUCGGAAGAUAUGGGUAAUCUUUUGAAACUUCAUCGUGAUGGGGAUAGAGCAUUGCAAUUAUUGCUCUUGAACGAGGAAUCCCUAGUAAGCACAAGUCACUAGCUUGUGCUGAUUACGUCCCUGCCCUUUGUACACACCGCCCGUCGCUACUACCGAUUGAAUGGCUUAGUGAGGCCUUCGGAUUGAGUUUUGGGAACUGGCAACAGAUCCUGAUUUUUAAGUUGUUGGUCAAACUUGGUCAUUUAGAGGAAGUAAAAGUCGUAACAAGGUUUCCGUAGGUGAACCUGCGGAAGGAUCAUUACCAAUUUUAGCGAACCUGGUCGCUUUUGACCGAGGUUUCGUGAAAUCUGUAUUUAAAACCCACGCUUUUUUAAUAAUAAAAUAUCGUAUCAAUUAUGAUAAAAAGAUCACUUUCAACAACGGAUCUCUUGGCUCUCGCAUCGAUGAAGAACGUAGCGAAGUGCGAUAAGUAAUGUGAAUUGCAGAAUUCCGUGAGUCAUCGAAUCUUUGAACGCAAAUUGCACUUCCUGGCAUUCCGGGGAGUAUGCCUGUUUGAGGGUCAGUUUAAUAAAUACCGUAGUGUUGCUUUUGUGACGCUUCGGAAUUGGGUCAUCUUGAUCCUUUGGAUUAAGCGACCUAAAAUUGAUGUACUUCUGUGCAUCUCGGACGUACAUAAGAAUUUUUUUUAUCCGUCAGGGUUUGCCAGGUUUUAUUAGGUAUAAUCACACGUUGCUUGUGAAAUCUUGUACCUAUAAUGUAACUCAUAUUUUGACCUCAAAUCAGGUAAGAAAACCCGCUGAACUUAAGCAUAUCAA